rnacentral:rRNA from 1 species
AACGAACGCUGGCGGCAGGCUUAACACAUGCAAGUCGAGCGCCUCGCCAGAGGAGCGGCAGACGGGUGAGUAACGCGUGGGAACGUACCCUUAUCUUCGGAAUAGCUCUGGGAAACUGGAAGUAAUACCGAAUGUGCCCUUAGGGGGAAAGAUUUAUCGGAUAAGGAUCGGCCCGCGUUGGAUUAGCUAGUUGGUGGGGUAAAGGCCUACCAAGGCGACGAUCCAUAGCUGGUCUGAGAGGAUGAUCAGCCACAUUGGGACUGAGACACGGCCCAAACUCCUACGGGAGGCAGCAGUGGGGAAUAUUGGACAAUGGGCGCAAGCCUGAUCCAGCCAUGCCGCGUGAGUGAUGAAGGCCUUAGGGUUGUAAAGCUCUUUCACCGGAGAAGAUAAUGACGGUAGCCGGAGAAGAAGCCCCGGCUAACUUCGUG